UACAGAGGGUGCAAGCGUUGUUCGGAAUUAUUGGGCGUAAAGCGCGUGUAGGCGGCUUGUUAAGUCUGGCGUGAAAGCUCUCGGCUAAACCGGGAGAGGUCGUUGGAUACUGGCCAACUAGAGGAUGGUAGAGGCGUGUGGAAUUCCGGGUGUAGUGGUGAAAUGCGUAGAGAUCCGGAGGAACACCAGUGGCGAAGGCGACACGCUGGGCCAUACCUGACGCUAAAGCGCGACAGCAUGGGGAGCAAACGGG
rnacentral:rRNA from 1 species